rnacentral:rRNA from 1 species
UACGUAGGGGGCUAGCGUUGUCCGGAAUUACUGGGCGUAAAGCGUGCGCAGGCGGCUUUGCAAGACAGAUGUGAAAUCCCCGGGCUCAACCUGGGAACUGCAUUUGUGACUGCAAGGCUAGAGUACGGUAGAGGGGGAUGGAAUUCCGCGUGUAGCAGUGAAAUGCGUAGAUAUGCAGAGGAACACCGAUGGCGAAGGCAAUCCCCUGGACCUGUACUGACGCUCAUGCACGAAAGCGUGGGGAGCAAACAGG